rnacentral:tRNA from 1 species
GCCUGGCUGGCUCAGUUGGGAGAGCAUAUGACUCUUGAUCUUGGGGUUGUGGGUUUGAACCCCAUGUUGGAUA